CGCGCCUGGGCGGAGAGGCGGGCUGCUGUCAAAUGCUGCAGGUACUGCUGCGGAGCGCUUGUAACGACCCGGAGUGGCGCAAAGUAACGUCCUCCUACCGAGGUGAAAGCGUCGGGUGAGUGGCGGAGCCGGUCUGCGCCCCACCCCUGAACACGAAGGCGCGUGCUCGAGGACACUGCGGGCGUCGCCGGCGGGCGGCACAGGCUGUUUCCGCAGCGACUCCCGGAAAACGGGUGACACCUGCAACUGGACAACUGUCACCUCGGUGGCGAGGUGCUAUUUUACUUUUUACCUUCGGAAAAGACAUGUUUUCAGCUUUUACACACCCUCUAAAUACAUUUAGAGAAAUUAUAACUUUUCCUCGAGCCUGCUGAUUAUAGGACUUGACUAAGGGACAGAUUAUAGGACUUGAGUAAGGGACAGAGUCAGUACCGUAAGCUUGAGGCGCCGGCCCUCCUUGCCGGGAGGCAGGGUUUAAGGCACCUCCUUCUGGGGACCUGUCACUAUAGAUAGAACGACAAGUAGGAAGAGGCCAGAGUCGCUAACAGGAGGAGCAAAGAGGUGGAGUAAUAGAAACAGAACCAAGGUCUGUGGAGCAACCUCAGCCGUGGAGCUGUGGAGCCCGGAAAGAGAAGCGUGACACAGCCUGACUUCCACUCUGAAGGAGCACUCUGCCUGCUGUGGUAGUUUGACUACCUCCUCAUUUGCCUGAAAAGUCUUCCAGUGUUAGCACUAAAAAUGCCACAUCCUGGGAAAUUCAGGGGUGUGAACAGAACAAAGGUAUCAGGCAGCAGGUCUCUGGCAGCCCCAGGGAAGAGAUGUCAUAAAGAAUCCAGAAGAGGAACUGAGCACACCAGCCUUGCUAAGUUCUCCUCCUCCCACCUCCUUCAUCUACUCUUCUGUGGAUAACAAACACAUCUCCCUGUUUCUUUGAGUUUUAUUUGAAAGCUCCAGUGUCAUGUAAAAGUGAUACUGAAUACAUUUGUAUGCUUUUCUCCUGUUACUCUCUUUUGCAGUGGGGAUCUCAGCAACCUAAUGACCCUAAUGAUGAAUGAGGAAAGAAACCCUUUUCCCCUUACACCCACAGAGGAACAGGUCUCUGGGGAGACAGUUCUUUCCACUUAAUCCACCAUGCAGUUUCCUUUCUCCUGUGUCUUUUCCCCUUGAAAAACCAAAAUGAUUUCUCCUUUCAUGUCCUAAGAUCAAAGGGAUUAAUACUUCUUUCUCUCAUUCCCAAGAAAGAUCAAUAAAUACCCUCCCCAGGCAAGACCCAAUGUUAAUGUUAUUAUAGGCAGCUAAAUUGGAUACAAACAAAUAUACAGUCAGAGGGAAUGGGCUCUCAAGGAAGUCAGCAUACAAUAUUUAUAAAAUAUAAUGACAUCACAGUUGUUGCUGGGGGCAUAACUGAUGAAGGCCUGGCCUCAAGGUAAAGAUGCAGUGGCCAGGCCUACAUGCCUCCCUAAGAGAUAAACAAUAAUUUAAGAUUAUAUUGUAAUUAGCACCACCUGGUCCAGUAAGUCAGUCACCAGAGCACUGGACCUGUCCCUUCUUUGUUCCUUCCAUGUAGCCUUGCAGUGUGACUUGUUUCCCUAUCAGAUCAAUAUUAGCUAAAUGGCUAUACUUAUAAUCCUAUUUUGAUUGUAGUUUGACCCACAUUGUAACUUUGCUGUAUUCGGGACCCCUUCCUGGAAAUCCAAGAGCUAUUCUUUAUUCUUCUCUAUUUCCAGUAAAAUCCCCCUAACAUCUUU